rnacentral:rRNA from 1 species
GUAGUCAUAUGCUUGUCUCAAAGAUUAAGCCAUGCAUGUCUAAGUAUAAACAACUUUGUACUGUGAAACUGCGAAUGGCUCAUUAUAUCAGUUAUAGUCUACUCGAUAGUACCUUACUACUUGGAUAACCGUAGUAAUUCUAGAGCUAAUACAUGCAUCGAUACCCAACUGCUUGUCGGGCGGGUAGCAUUUAUUAGAUUGAAACCAAUGCAGUCUUCGGGCUGGUAUUGUGUUGAGUCAUAAUAACUGUGCGGAUCGCACUCAGUGCGAUAAGUCGAUUGAGUUUCUGCCCUAUCAGCUUUGGAUGGUAGGAUAUGGGCCUACCAUGGCACCAACGGGUAACGGGGAAUGGGGCGGGGGCGGCGGGCCGGGCGCGGGGCGCGGCGGGCGA